UUUAAUUUAAAUUGUCAGUGUCGACAUUAAAAGUAUUUGAAUAAUUUAUUGAGAUUUAUAAAUUACUAUGACAAACUGUAUUACAUCCAUGGCUACAUAAAUAUCUUUUUACAUUAAAUAUAAUUAAGGUUCCAAAAGUAUGUAAAUUUUGUAAAACAACCAAAUACCAAAUUCACAAUGAAGGAGACGGAAAGAGAGCAAGAUGAGAACAUGGCAAAAAUGGACAAAUUUGGCAAUGUUUGGAGCACUUAUAACUUAACAAGGAGAGCAGAGGAGACGUUAAAGUGGAGUGCGGCUUUAGGGUUUCUUAAUAAACGCGGUAACCGGUACUUGGAAAACUUUGCCCUUGAAAUGUGUGGCUGUCGAAAGCGUUGCCCACGGAGAUGCAGCCGCCCUACGAAACGAUGUUGUCGACGCAGACGCCGCCGAUGUUGUUAGCAACUCUGUUGUUUUUUAUAAUAAAAUUAUUAAUUUGGU